GACGAACGCUGGCGGCGUGCUUAACACAUGCAAGUCGAACGAAGUGGCGAACGGGUGAGUAACGCGUAAUCAACCUGCCCUUCAGAGGGGGACAACAGUUGGAAACGACUGCUAAUACCGCAUACUGAAGGAGGGGAUUGCGUCUGAUUAGCUAGUUGGAGGGGUAACGGCCCACCAAGGCGAUGAUCAGUAGCCGGUCUGAGAGGAUGAAUGGCCAGAUUGGGACUGAGGCACGGCCCAGACUUCUACGGGAGGCAGCAGUGGGGAAUCUUCCGGAAUGGACGGAAGUCUGACUGAGAAACGGCGCGUGAGUGAUGACGGCCUUCGGGUUGUAAAGCUCUGUUAAUCGGGACGCGGUACCGGAAUAGAAAGCAAUGGCUAACUACGUGCCAGCCGCCGCGGUAAUAC
rnacentral:rRNA from 1 species